rnacentral:rRNA from 1 species
AGUGAACGCUGGCGGUAGGCCUAACACAUGCAAGUCGAACGGCAGCACAGUAAGAGCUUGCUCUUACGGGUGGCGAGUGGCGGACGGGUGAGGAAUACAUCGGAAUCUACUUUUUCGUGGGGGAUAACGUAGGGAAACUUACGCUAAUACCGCAUACGACCUACGGGUGAAAGCAGGGGAUCUUCGGACCUUGCGCGAUUGAAUGAGCCGAUGUCGGAUUAGCUAGUUGGCGGGGUAAAGGCCCACCAAGGCGACGAUCCGUAGCUGGUCUGAGAGGAUGAUCAGCCACACUGGAACUGAGACACGGUCCAGACUCCUACGGGAGGCAGCAGUGGGGAAUAUUGGACAAUGGGCGCAAGCCUGAUCCAGCCAUACCGCGUGGGUGAAGAAGGCCUUCGGGUUGUAAAGCCCUUUUGUUGGGAAAGAAAAGCAGCAGGUUAAUACCCCGCUGUUCUGACGGUACCCAAAGAAUAAACACCGGCCAACUUCGU